rnacentral:rRNA from 1 species
CCUACGGGAGGCAGCAGUGAGGAAUAUUGGUCAAUGGUCGGGAGACUGAACCAGCCAAGCCGCGUGAGGGAUGAAGGUACAGAGUAUCGUAAACUUCUUUUGUCAGGGAACAAAGGCGGGGACGCGUCCCCGGAUGAGUGUACCUGAAGAAAAAGCAUCGGCUAACUCCGUGCCAGCAGCCGCGGUAAUACGGAGGAUGCGAGCGUUAUCCGGAUUUAUUGGGUUUAAAGGGUGCGCAGGGGGGCUGUUAAGUCAGCGGUGAAAGCCCGGGGCUCAACCCCCGACCUGCAGUUGAAACUGGCAGUCUUGAGUUGGGGAGAGGUAUGCGGAAUGCGCGGUGUAGCGGUGAAAUGCAUAGAUAUCGCGCAGAACUCCGAUUGCGAAGGCAGCAUGCCGGAUCCACACUGACGCUGAGGCACGAAAGCGUGGGUAUCGAACAGGAUUAGAUACCCCUGUAGUC